CAUCCCCUCUUGAGAUCUCCUAGACAGACACUUGUCGCUAACUAAGACCCAUCGCAGCCAAAAAAAAUUAUGUCCCAGAAAUUGUUGUAUAACUCCCAGGUAAACAGACAACGUUAAAUUUAAACCAAAAAAAAUGAAACGCGGAUUCUUAUACUCCUCCUAAUGUCUCUCUGUCUCUAGCAAAUUUCUCCCUGUUUUUAUCGUCUUCAUAUACUUCUGCUUAUCUGCUGAUUGCUUUGCUUUACUUAAAGAAAGUUCCGACCUUUCAGAUGAUGCGUAAUUGUUUCUAGCUAUAUCUCAAUAUUUUGUUGCCUUUUGUUGUCAUUAUCAGUUGUUCCUGGAGUUGAAUUUUUGUUGGGGUUGUUGAAAGUUAGUGGUUGAAGUGCGUUUGGCAUAAAGGUUAUGAUGUUCGAGGGAUGAAGUUCAUUUUUUUUUUCCUUCUGUUUAUACUGUGUCAUAUGUCUUGAAAUUCAUGUUCUGAUGUAAAUUUGGAGUGUUCUUGUGAAGGAAAGUGCGAUUGCAGUAGAAAUUUUGGGUUAUCUUUAGUUCUGUGUUGUUCUGCAGUUUUGGUCUGAAGUUCUAUAUUUAGUUUGAUCAUGUAAAGCUUUGUUUGCUAGUUCAAUCAUUCAUAUGUAUGAUAUGUUAUGAAAGGGUAUUCGAUAUGGUCCAUUCGAGAGAUAGAAGGGAAUCAAUUUGAUCUGAUUGGAUUUUUUGUGAUUCCAUAUUACAGUGAGCUUAGGAGUAGAAUUGGGGCAUUGUUAGGUAGAUAUAUUUAGUGAAAUGGGGAGUCAUUUCAAUUUCAAGAACUUUGGGAAUGAGCAAAUGGAGGGUAGUGGGGGAGGAAGGCCGCCAGGGAACUUUCCCUUGGCACGGCAGCCGUCCGUAUAUUCGUUGACUUUUGAUGAGUUUCAGACCACUAUGGGUGGGGUUGGGAAAGAUUUUGGCUCAAUGAACAUGGAUGAGUUGUUAAAGAAUAUUUGGAGUGCAGAGGAGUUCCAGACUAUGGGUCCUGCUAGUCAGGAUGUGGGUGCUUCUGGUGGGCAUUUGCAGAGGCAGGGCUCAUUAACAUUGCCAAGGACAUUGAGUCAGAAAACUGUGGAUCAGGUGUGGAGGGACAUAUCGAAAGAGUUCACUGUUGGUGCGAAGGAUACUACUGGUGUGGGUAUUACAACUAUACCUCAGAGGCAACAGACUUUAGGGGAGAUGACACUGGAGGAUUUCUUACUUAGAGCUGGUGUUGUAAGGGAGGAUGCUCAAUUGGCAGGGAAGCCUAAUAUUACUGGACUACUUGGAGAUUUGUCACGAACUGCAAAUAAUCAGGCUUUUGGGUUUGGAUACCAGCAGCCGGAGAGGAACACUGGGUUGGUUAGUGGAAGGGUGCUGGAGAGUAGUAAUCAAAUGGCUAUGGAAUCUGCUAAUUUGCCGUUGAAUGUAAAUGGAGUCAGAUUUACACAGCAACAGUUAGGGGCAACACAAACACAGCAGACUCAACAACUGCCACAACAACAGCACCAGCCUCUAUUUCCCAAGCUACCCGGUUUGCCUUAUGCCACUCCCAUUGCUAUACCAAAUAGCGCUCAGUUAGGUAGUCCUGGAGUUAGGGGUGGGAUUGUUGGACUUUCUGAUCCGGCAACGAGUGCUAGUUUGGUUCAAAAUGGUGCGCUACAGGGUGCAGGUGUGGGGAUGGUUAAUUUAGGUGCUGGGGCUGUCACUAUUGCUGCUGGCUCUCCAGCAGUUUCGUCAGAUGGGCUUGCGAAGAGCAAUGGAGAUACUUCUUCUGUCUCUCCAGUCCCUUAUGUGUUCAAUAGUGGAUUACGGGGUAGGAAAUGCAGUGCUUUGGAGAAGGUUGUUGAGAGGAGGCAGAGGAGAAUGAUAAAGAACAGGGAGUCAGCAGCAAGAUCACGAGCCCGUAAGCAGAUGUUGAAUUCCCCAAAAUUAUCAAAGAUUCGAUACCUAUGCGGUAUGAUAGUGAUCUAAUCUGACAAGAGAUGAAAGAUUAUGAGAAGUUAUACUUCGUGAGAAGCGUUAAGGAUCAUGUUUACUACGAGGCCUAUACCAUGGAAUUGGAAGCUGAAGUUGCAAAACUGAAAGAAGAUAACCAAGAAUUGCAGAAGAAACAGGCUGAAAUAAUGGAAAUGCA